AACUUUCUGUAUCCGUGCUGAGAUUUCGUCACAUACCAGACCACAAGGGCUGAUGAGACCAUAUGAAAGAAAAUA
rnacentral:pre_miRNA from 1 species